GAGUCUUAAUUGGGCGUUAAGUUGCAGGGUAUAGACCCGAAACCCGGUGAUCUAGCCAUGGGCAGGUUGAAGGUUGGGUAACACUAACUGGAGGACCGAACCGACUAAUGUUGAAAAAUUAGCGGAUGACCUGUGGCUGGGGGUGAAAGGCCAAUCAAACCGGGAGAUAGCUGGUUCUCCCCGAAAGCUAUUUAGGUAGCGCCUCGUGAAUUCAUCUCCGGGGGUAGAGCACUGUUUCGGCUAGGGGGCCAUCCCGGCUUACCAACCCGAUGCAAACUGCGAAUACCGGAGAAUGUUAUCACGGGAGACACACGGCGGGUGCUAACGUCCGUCGUGAAGAGGGAAACAACCCAGACCGCCAGCUAAGGUCCCAAAGUCAUGGUUAAGUGGGAAACGAUGUGGGAAGGCCCAGACAGCCAGGAUGUUGGCUUAGAAGCAGCCAUCAUUUAAAGAAAGCGUAAUAGCUCACUGGUCGAGUCGGCCUGCGCGGAAGAUGUAACGGGGCUAAACCAUGCACCGAAGCUGCGGCAGCGAACGUAUCACUUAAAGCGAUUCAGCGGGUUACGAUUGACGGAGCGAAGCGACGUCAAAGCGUAUACAAAGUCGAGUCGGUUUAAGGAUACGUU
rnacentral:rRNA from 1 species